AACACCCUGCUGUGCGCGUGUCCGGUCGUCAAAGUUUUGAGCUAACACUGAUAAAUUGGGAGCCUGGCUCUACCUGUGGCGCAGAAGCUCUGUGUGCAGGGAACUGCAAAGCAUGUAGGAGGGCACCCCCCUGUAGGGAGAGCAGUUCAAAACAACGACCCCACGUCAUGGUGGGGUUUUU
rnacentral:other from 1 species